GAGCUUUCAGUUUUCUAUACAAAUAUAAUAAAUACCAUGGAUAUCCUUCGAGACUGUGAUAUUCACCUUUUAGAAUUUUAUUUUAAUUUCUCGCAGUAGUUUUAUUUUUCACAGAUGGUAAUUAUUUGCAACAUUCAUGAAUGUUUUACCUCCUUUUACUAUCCUGAAAGCUUUUUCCAGUAAAUCGAGAAAUGGUCCCAAAGCAGAAGGAGAACUGAGGGGGGCAAACUGGCCUGCUUAAUUCACAAGCUGGGUAACUGACAACCCAAGGUUGUAAGUUAGAUAUGUUUUGCUUUUAAAGUCAUAAUCUGAGGCUGUAUUUGGAUAAAAUAGGUUCUUCCCUAAAUUAUUGCUAGUUACUGGAUUCUUUGUGACUACCAAACACUCAUAUUCCAAUGGAUACUCUUCCAUGGUAAUUGCAUCCCAAAGGAGAGUUAUUGUCUGUGGGAAAAGAGGAUAAGGAUGUCAGGAUGAAGGAAAUCACAGUGUAGCUCUGAGUGUUUAUGACACCAUUUUGUGAAUUCCUAAAUAUGUUUAGAAUUUUGGAGAAUAAAUAAUGCUGAAAUUGGGAUAUUAAUAAAAUCAUUGUAAGAAUGAUCAGCAAGUAGGCCUUUUCAUGGAGCAAUUUUCGUCAUUUUUUUGGCUCAGAUUCAUGAUUUGUUCAUGAAUGAGACACAGUUUCAAAGGUCUGAUGUAUGAUAUCAGUCCAGUUUCUUGGCCACUCACUUGCGUUAGCUUAAAUCACAGUGGUGACUUAAUUUGCUAGAGUGAAAAGAAUGUCUAACAUGUCUCCCCCUAGGAAAAAAUAUUUUAAAAAGAGUAACUUUACAUAUAUGAAACUACCCAGUUAGUUAUUAACAAUCAAAUUUGAUU
rnacentral:lncRNA from 1 species